GUCCCCGCUAUGUGAACUUCCACCGAAAUUACCUGGGUUUGGAGAUUACUCUGCAAUAGGACAAGAGUAAAAUGUUCUUAACGACCUUUUUCCUGCCUAUUGAUAGCUUUAUGGCCAAAGUUUCAUGGUUUACCUAUUCUGCACUGUUUGCUGGCACGUUGGUAGACCUUAACCCUUGUCUUGGUUAGUAUUACGGCCUAUGGAAUCUUGUGGAGUUGGCAUAAGGCAGAUUGCACCAUUUGAUCAUGGGCAAGUUUUGCUCAGUUGUUUCUACGUUUUCAGUGUCAGGUGAACUCUAAUUGAUUAUAAUGUUCUUAAUCUAAUUUCGUGGGAAAUUAACUUGUGAGUAUUUAAUAUUAUUUUGUUAUUAUUGAAUUGAAAAUUGUAUGGUUGGUCUUUUGGAAAGUAUCUGGUUCUUGGUAGAAUGUGGUAAAUAGUUUUUGAAAAUGCAGCUUCUCGUGGUCCC
rnacentral:lncRNA from 1 species